rnacentral:rRNA from 1 species
GACGGGUAGCCGGCCUGAGAGGGUGACCGGCCACACUGGGACUGAGACACGGCCAGACCUACGGGAGGCAGCAGUGGGGAAUAUUGCACAAUGGGCGAAAGCCUGAUGCAGCAACGCCGCGUGAGGGAUGACGGCCUUCGGGUUGUAAACCUCUUUUAGCAGGGACGAAGCGAAAGUGACGGUACCUGCAGAAAAAGCGCCGGCUAACUACGUGCCAGCAGCCGCGGUAAUACGUAGGGCGCAAGCGUUAUCCGGAAUUAUUGGGCGUAAAGAGCUCGUAGGCGGUUUGUCGCGUCUGCUGUGAAAUCCCGAGGCUCAACCUCGGGCCUGCAGUGGGUACGGGCAGACUAGAGUGCGGUAGGGGAGAUGGGAAUU